UCUGACCUUCUCUUUACCUGUUAGGACUCAUCAGUUCAGCUUCUCAAAAUGAGGUUCCCUGCUCAGCUGCUGGGGCUGCUGAUGCUCUGGAUCCCAGGAUCCAGUGGGGAUGUCGUGAUGACUCAGAGCCCUCUGUCCCUGCCCAUCACCCCUGGAGAGCCAGCCUCAAUCUCCUGCAGGGCCAGUCAGAGCCUCCUGCACAGUAAUGGAAACACCUAUUUACAUUGGUACCUGCAGAAGCCAGGCCAGUCUCCAAGGCUCCUGAUCUAUAAGGUUUCCAACCGGGACUCUGGGGUCCCAGACAGGUUCAGUGGCAGCGGGUCAGGGACAGAUUUCACCCUGAGAAUCAGCAGGGUGGAGGCUGACGACGUCGGAGUUUAUUACUGCUACCAAGCUACACAUGCUCCUCGCACGGUGGUUCAGCCCCGAACACAAACCUUCUGUCUGGCGCGUCACCUCCCUCCACAUGUGUGGCCUGAGUGGGGAGCAGACACAGCAGAGGCUCUCAGUGGCCCUACGAGGCAGACGCUGGAGAAGUCAGGGCAUAACAUGCAGCUGCGGGCUCUGGACCAUGUCGUGGCCCCUCAGCUGCGACAGCCCAGCGCGGCAUGA